GAUGAACGCUGGCGGCGUGCUUAACACAUGCAAGUCGAACGGAAAGGCUCCUGCUUGCAGGGGUACUCGAGUGGCGAACGGGUGAGUAACACGUGGGUGAUCUGCCCUGCACUUCGGGAUAAGCCUGGGAAACUGGGUCUAAUACCGGAUAGGACGAUGGUUUGGAUGCCAUUGUGGAAAGUUUUUUCGGUGUGGGAUGAGCUCGCGGCCUAUCAGCUUGUUGGUGGGGUAAUGGCCUACCAAGGCGUCGACGGGUAGCCGGCCUGAGAGGGUGUACGGCCACAUUGGGACUGAGAUACGGCCCAGACUCCUACGGGAGGCAGCAGUGGGGAAUAUUGCACAAUGGGCGGAAGCCGGAUGCAGCGACGCCGCGUGGGGGAUGACGGCCUUCGGGUUGUAAACUCCUUUCGCUAGGGACGAAGCGCAAGUGACGGUACCGGGAGAAGAAGCACCGGCUAACUACGG
rnacentral:rRNA from 1 species